UCAUAGUUAAUUGUGAAAAGAUUAACUUUUUUCGCUCCUGAUGAAUUUUAAUUUAAUUAACUUUACCUGUGAAUUUAAAAUUGAAUUUUGUAUUAUUAUUGUUCAUCUCAUCACAAGGAUCAAGUUGAUACCCAAAUUAUGACAGUUCAACAGUUUCUUUAGUUGUUUUUCUUUUUCUUUUGUUACUCUUAAAACUGAGCUAUUAUUGCGUCGUAAUAACUUCAACCAUUUUCGUUUUCUUGGUAAGUUUUGUUGAUAACCCAACAAAGGAACCAAAACAAAAACACAAUCACUGUACUAAACUAAAUUUAAUUUAUAUUUUUCUCCCUUUAUUUAUGACAAACCUAAUGAGUCAAACUAUCUUCAAACCUUCAAACAAACGGCACCCAUUUCAACUUUAUCAAACAUGAUAUUAAACUAAUGAAAUCAAACUAAUGAAAUUAAACUCAGACAAUUAACUCAUCAAGACAAAAUUCACACAAAUCUAACUAACAAUACAAAAAAAUAUAAUUCUUCUAAACUGAACGGUUAGUUCAGUGUCCGUAAGGACCUUCAGGUAAUCCCGCUUCAGGAUUCCUGAAGAAUAAUGUAUAAUGCAUUCACCAGAUGGUGUCAAUAAAGUGAAAAUCUAUUUACGAAUCGCUCUGAUACUUAAUACUGAAUGGUAAAUUAGUUUUCGAAACGUAACAAAUCUAAAAAAUUCUUGAUUGAUUGUUCUAUUGAUUCUUAUAAUCAAAAUACUAAUAUUUGUUUGAUUAACUGCAAUUUCGGACUUAAAAUUCAAGGUAAAUUCAUUGUUGAUUAAACUAUUUUAAUCUAAAGGUAAAAAUCUUCUAUUCUGUUUUAACCCAAAAAGAAUUUGCUGAAUUUAUCCCAAAUCAAUUUUUCUGUCCAGUUGAAACUUUUAACAUUUGAAAAAGUUUUUGAUUCAUAUCAAUAAAAAUGUUUUAUGAAUUAAUCGAAUCUGAUAAGGGCCAUCAUUUGAUAGUCCAAUAUGAUCAUGUAUAUAAGAACUGUGAAACUAAAUUAUGUCAAAUGAGGGGUAAGCUUCAUGAUGGGGAAUUUACAAUUGGUAGUGAUCAUAUUCAUUUACCAGAAAUGAAGUGAAAAUUAUCCAACGUCAUCAACAUGAUAUAAAUUGAUGAAAAAUCCAACGGAAACUGGUCUUAAUAUUUACACUUAAUUUUCUUUUCUUCUCACCCACAAUAUCACCAAUUCAUCUUAAAAUAACAAUCGAUAAACUCUACUGGACAUUUGCGUUUUGAUAACAAUAACAACAAUUCUAAUUGAUUGUCGAUAUUUAUAAACAAAAAAAAACAAUUCUAUUCUAAAAGGAAAACGGAUUAAGAAGAAAAAAACUUCCAUUAAAAAGUGUACCCUUAAUCCCUAUUAUAAUGAAUCAUUUACCUUCGAGGUUCCUUUUGAACAGAUUCAAAAGGUUUACCUGAUCAUUACUGUUGUCGAUUAUGAUAGAAUCGGAACUUCAGAACCAAUUGGAAAGGUGAAUCUUGGUUGUAACGCAACGGGUACUGAACUACGACAUUGGAUGGACAUGUUGGCCUCACCUCGACGUCCGAUAGCCCAAUGGCAUUCACUUAAAGACCCAGAUGACAUCGGUGGCAAAGAGUAAAUGUAAAUCAUCAAAUCUCUAAUCAGAUAAUUAAGAUAUUCUAAUUGUAAUCCCUUCCAAAUUUUCAUCAAAUUUAAUCAUCAUCAUAAUCGUAAUCAUAUAAUACUUAAUGAAAGGAAACCAAACAUUGAGCUUUUCCCAUGUCUUUACUUGAAGCUAGUGAUAAGUGGACCAAAGGUCUUGACCAAAGGAACCAAAUGAAAACCCAACACUUUAAUUGACCAGUUAAUUACAAUUAUUGGUUAAUUGUUUAAAAGUUUUCACGUUAAAAAGGUUGGAAGUGUCAAUAAAAGGCCAACAAUUAAACUCAUACCCCUUAAUCUAUCAAAACUAAUACGAAAUGACCAAUACACCGAAUGGAUAUUUGGACAUUUGGUGGACAAUUUAUUAAGUAUUAAUUAAUUAAUUCUAUCGAUUGAUUUGAUUAUGUUGUUUACUUUCAAUUGUAAUUAUAAUUUCAAAUGCAAGAAUCAAUGUAAAUGCAAUGCAUCAUAAUCCCAAUAUCUUAUCCCUCUGGAAAAUUGUAUUAACCAUUAGUGAUUUAAUUUAAUUGCUAACAAAUGAACCUUAAUUAACUCAUACAUUAAAUAUUGUGUUUUUAAGUUUA